GACGAACGCUGGCGGCGUGCCUAAUACAUGCAAGUAGAACGCACAGUUUAUACCGUAGCUUGCUACACCAUAGACUGUGAGUUGCGAACGGGUGAGUAACGCGUAGGUAACCUGCCUGGUAGCGGGGGAUAACUAUUGGAAACGAUAGCUAAUACCGCAUAAUAUUAAUUAUUGCAUGAUAAUUAAUUGAAAGGUGCAAUUGCACCACUACCAGAUGGACCUGCGUUGUAUUAGCUAGUAGGUGAGGUAACGGCUCACCUAGGCGACGAUACAUAGCCGACCUGAGAGGGUGAUCGGCCACACUGGGACUGAGACACGGCCCAGACUCCCACGGGAGGCAGCAGUAGGGAAUCUUCGGCAAUGGACGAAAGUCUGACCGAGCAACGCCGCGUGAGUGAAGAAGGUUUUCGGAUCGUAAAGCUCUGUUGUAAGAGAAGAACGGGUGUGAGAGUGGAAAGUUCACACUGUGACGGUAUCUUACCAGAAAGGGACGGCUAACUACGUG
rnacentral:rRNA from 1 species